ensembl:lncRNA
CUGACACACUCUGAUUGUGGCCUAGUGCCCAAAACUGAUGCCUGCCACAGGCUCAGGGUGUCUUCUGGGCCUGUCAUUAGAGAACAGAAUAGGGCUUAAAGGCCUUUCCCUGGGAACAGCUGCAUGAACUGAAGGGCCAGCAAGAGGGUGACACCUGCCUGCUGGGAAGGGCUCAGCGCUAGGCAGGCCCUGGCUGUCUGCUCCCAGUGUCGGGGAAAGCCUAUUGAACAUCACAAGGUGAAAAAAAGGAAGAAAACACUCCUAGGCCAGAGGUUUCUCCCACCGGAUUCACGUCACAUUGUGUUAUCUGACUUUUGCCAUUUUUGUGAAUAAAGAUGUCCUGAGACUUAACCCGGGAACUCUAGCGGUGCUGCUCAGUAUUCCACACCAGAACUAUUCUGCUAUUGCUCGUCAAUGUUAGACUACGUGGACCUUUAUUUACUGGCCUUUAUGUCUUAAAUCUAAAUAUGUCUCAAGAGGUUUUUCAUAUUCAAAGUACAACUCAUUUCAGUCAUACAACAGACACGUACGGAUCACCUGGUAUGUCCAAGAGAUGUGGGGGUCACACACAUGACUAAAACAUGGUCCUGCCCUCAAAGGGUUAACAAGCGGAUAGAUGUUUUGAUCAAGUCUUUGACAUUCUUGGGGAAAGGCAGCUUUUCGAACCAUGAACGACCUCUCCUUUGCUUGGUAGCUCUUCAACUACAAAGUAGGUCAAACAGGCACACUGUGUUUAGGGACUUAUAAAUGAACAUAGCGCUUCUUGGAUCCUGGCAUUCCACAGCAUAAUUACCUACUCCUGAGCCUGCUGCCACAUGCCCAGAGGGCAGAAUGGAGAGCCAGGAGAGCUGACGUUCAGGGCAGUGCCGUGCAGACAUGCAGAGCAAGCGGCCUCAAGACCAGACUAAGAAACAGAUGGAGAGAGCGAUGGGAGAAGAGACUGACUCAGCACCAGCAACGCAGCAUCCCCCCUGUUUGGGGUACACUCGUUCCAGCCGCAGACCACCCUUGGAUGAAACUGUACCCCAAAGAAGAGCAGACUGGGCAGCGGAGAACAUCGCCGCAUCCAUUGAUGUAAAACAGAGAAGGGGGUACAAUUUGUACGCACGCAGAAAAUGCAUGGAUGGAUACACAGGAAGCUGUUAACCAGUGAGAACCAGAAAUUAUUCCUAAGGAGAAAGGCUGGGAGAGAGACUUCCUUUUCCUGUAUCCUCUUUUGUUCUAAUUGAAUUGUUUUUUUUUUUAAUUGAGGUAACACUGGUUUAGAACAUUAUAUAAAUUUCAGUUGUGCAUUUCUACUAUA